rnacentral:piRNA from 2 species
CCCUCGAUGCUCUUAGCUGAGUGUCCCGC